CUUCAAGGUCAGGCUGUCUGCUGUUACUUCUGGAGGAGCCACCAGACUAUAGUCGAUGUCAGCCACCUUGUCUAUUUUGGAUGUCACUGGAGACAAAGAAGACAGAGGAUGAGCUGGCUUCCAUGGCAGCGUCCCUAAGACUGGGCUGGCACCGAAGCUCCGGCUCCAUCGCAGCUCCUCCAGGCCUCCUGGACUCCCCUUGGAGGAAACAAACCCAUACUCCGCAUCCACAGAUGUGGUCUUAAACCCUCCUUCCAACAGUGCCAAGAUGUGUGGCUAAAACACAGGGCCAAGGCGACGGAGAGUCUGUGCGGCCUUGACAGUCCUUGUACUCCCCAAGCCACUUUUUGUCAGAUGUGGUGGGGGAGGGUGUCCGGAACCUCUCUGGAGGACUCCGUGAGCAGGUGCUCGCUCGGCACCCUGCACACACGCAGACACAGGAGCAAGGAGGGCGCUGGGCUGUUUGGCCCCUGCCAAACGAGUGACUGUGGCUGCUUUUUCAACUCAUUUCCAGACCUACCACAAGGGCCUGGCUCGAUGCCAGUGGCCCGUAGCCUGUUCUGCCCAGGACAAGACCUGGCCCGCCCACCCGGCCUCCCUCCCCACCCCCUCCUACCCCUUCUCUCCUCCAUUCCCACCCAACCUCACCUGGAAGGGUCCUGAUGUACUGCUGCAAGUUGGUGUUCACAGUAUUGGUCAGUAUCUUGCAGAUCUAGGGAGAACGGAAGACACAUCAGCAAGAGCUCCCAUUGCCCUCUGGAGAAGCCCAGCCUCAUCUGUCCUCCAAGACAAGCUCAGGUGAUUCCUGGAAGCUGGUGGUUUGUUCAUACACAGCCAAGCCAAUGAAUGGCCCUUUCUUGGCAGAGGAGGCUGGCUUGGGGGGAGGUUCGAGUGUGGGGAAGGUUGGAGAGCACCAGCUGGUGCCAGUUCCUUGUCCCAGUUCCAGCUGCAAGGAAAGGGCCCCAGCAGGGCCUCGGCCAAAGCCCAGCUUGGAGCUCCGUGCAUGAAAACUCACACUGGAUGCCACAUGGGACAUAAGAAGGAGGGAAAAGGAAGGCAGAUAUGGCUGAGCACCAGGACUUCGGGGCUGAAAGCCCUCAGUCGAGCAUCUGUUCCCAGGAAGCCUACUGGAGCACCCCAGCUUGGAGCUGGAAUGUACUCCUUCCUCCUCAGUCAGUGGGUCCUCUGCCUGUCUACUACUCUCCUGGGAUCCAGAGCUGUCCUACCUGGGGAGGAGCAACUUUUCCAAACUCUCUCCUGCUGAGCACAUAGCCAACACCCCUCCUUGCCUCAGCCCCAAAGAAAUGAUAGAAUGUGCUGAUGCCUGGCCCAGGAGGCCGGAGAGCCUGGUUUCCUUUCUGCAAGACAGGAGGAUGAGCGGACGAUGGCUGGAAGUGGUAACAGCAAGUGUGGAGAUCUACAUUAUCUCUCUGUGUCCCCUCCCCUGUUCCUUACUAUAAAAGACCCUUUCCUACCUGUACAUGGUGAGAGCAUGAUCUGAGGCAAAUAGGUGCCUCUGACACCUUGGAGCUAGCUUUGAAUGAAUCCUUUUUCCCUUUUGCCAAAACAAGUAGCCUCCUUUGAUUUGGUCAUAGUGAGCAAAUGAACCUGAGUGGCAGGGAACAUCCUGCAUACUUUUGAACACCUCCAGCUCUUAGGUGCCUGCAGUGCCUGAUGCCCCCAGGACCAAGCAGAUAUGGCAUCUCUGAGGGUGUUAUUAAGGAACAUUAAAAUGAAAUCGCUCUGUCAUGUGGCUAGAGAAUUACAAUCUGAAAACUGCCAGCAAGUUUCUGAACCAGCUGCCCCCCACCUCAGCUAACCUCUGACAGCUCAUGCCCAGCCAAACUUAGCCGAGGGUGAACGAGGGCAGAGGAAAUAAAGACAGGUAAACAGUUUCAUCAGAUAGGUUCCAAGAAUGGGAGAUAAGGAACCUAAACCCACCCUACCUGGAGGAU